rnacentral:rRNA from 1 species
GAUGAACGCUGGCGGCGUGCCUAAUACAUGCAAGUCGAGCGAACAGACGAGGAGCUUGCGCCUCGGACGUUAGCGGCGGACGGGUGAGUAACACGUGGAUAACCUACCUAUAAGAGGGGGAUAACUUCGGGAAACCGGAGCUAAUACCGGAGAAUAUAUUGAACCGCAGGGGGCAAUAGUGAAAGACGGUUGUGCUGGCACGUAUAGAUGGAUCCGCGCCGCAUUAGCUAGUUGGUAAGGUAACGGCUUAUCAAGGCGACGAUGCGUAGCCGACCGGAGAGGCUGAUCGGCCACACUGGAACUGAGCCACGGUCCAGACUCCUGCGGGAGGCAGCAGUCGGCAAUCUUCCGCAAUGGGCGAAAGCCUGACGGAGCAGCGCCGCGUGAGUUAUGACGGUCUUCCGAUCGUAAAACUCUGUUAUUAGUGAAGAACCAAUGUGUAAGUAACUAUGCACGUCUUGACGGUACCUAAUCAGAAAGCCCCGGCUAACUACGUG